GUGGGGAAUCUUCCGCAAUGGACGAAAGUCUGACGGAGCAACGCCGCGUGAGUGAUGAAGGUCUUCGGAUUGUAAAGCUCUGUUAAUCGGGACGAAAGAGCCUAGUGUGAAUAAUGCUAGGAAGUGACGGUACCGGAAUAGAAAGCCACGGCUAACUACGUGCCAGCAGCCGCGGUAAUACGUAGGUGGCAAGCGUUGUCCGGAAUUAUUGGGCGUAAAGCGCGCGCAGGCGGAUCUGCCAGUCUGUCUUAAAAGUUCGGGGCUUAACCCCGUGAUGGGAUGGAAACUACAGAUCUAGAGUAUCGGAGAGGAAAGUGGAAUUCCUAGUGUAGCGGUGAAAUGCGUAGAUAUUAGGAAGAACACCAGUGGCGAAGGCGACUUUCUGGACGAAAACUGACGCUGAGGCGCGAAAGCCAGGGGAGCGAACGGGAUUAGAUACCCGUGUAGUCC
rnacentral:rRNA from 1 species